CACUUAUGUGAGAAAAAAUUCGAGAUCAGAAAUUUGAUUACCAGCAUAGACUCUUGUAAAGUGACAGCCUCCACUACUGUCAAUGGCAAGUCAUUCCAUAAGCCUAUCACCUCGUUAGAAAAAAUAAAACUGGAAAAGCAUUAUUAGUUGUGACGAAAAAAGAUGAUUGAAAUUACCUGUAACGAUCGACUUGGAAAGAAAGUACGUG
rnacentral:misc_RNA from 1 species